rnacentral:tRNA from 1 species
AAAUUUAGGCUAUUAUUUAAACCAAGGACCUUCAAAGUCCUAAAAAAGGACACCCCCUUAAUUUCU